rnacentral:rRNA from 1 species
GACGAACGCUGGCGGCGUGCUUAACACAUGCAAGUCGAACGGAAAGGCCCUGCUUUUGUGGGGUGCUCGAGUGGCGAACGGGUGAGUAACACGUGAGUAACCUGCCCUUGACUUUGGGAUAACUUCAGGAAACUGGGGCUAAUACCGGAUAGGAGCUCCUGCUGCAUGGUGGGGGUUGGAAAGUUUCGGCGGUUGGGGAUGGACUCGCGGCUUAUCAGCUUGUUGGUGGGGUAGUGGCUUACCAAGGCUUUGACGGGUAGCCGGCCUGAGAUGGUGACCGGUCACAUUGGGACUGAGGUCCGGCCCAGACUCCUACGGGAGGCAGCAGUGGGGAAUAUUGCACAAUGGGCGGAAGCCUGAUGCAGCCACGCCGCGUGCGGGAUGACGGCCUUCGGGUUGUAAACCGCUUUCGCCUGUGACGAAGCGUGAGUGACGGUAAUGGGUAAAGAAGCACCGGCUAACUACGUG